CCGGGGCGGCGGGACGCGGCCGGCGCCCCUCACCUGGAUGCGGGACUCGGGUAUCUGCGUGGCGUCGGCCAGCUUCUCGCGCAGCGUUGGCACACCUCUCCACAGCUCCCACAGAGUGUCAUCCCACUGAUGUGCUAAAAGCAGUGCCUGUGAGCUGCUGCAGCAUGCCUUCUGCAGCAAGAAAAAAGCACUGUGUCUGGAUUUGGCAGAGCUUUCUUUCCCCAACAAGAAGUUUUGUAUCCUGCCAUGUUCCUUGCUGUCUGACGAAGAGGUUUCCAAUACUUUGUAGGUGCCAGCAUCUGCAUGGAGUUACACCUAGAAGGCAAUGAAACAUAGACCCAGAACUUUGCCAAUAAGGUCAGACGCCGGUUGCAGUACAAAUGCAGAUCCAGUAUCUUUUCUCUGCCCUUGGUUGCUCUGGUACUGUUAAGCCUCACAAGUCUGUUCUCUCUGAGUGGUAUUGACCAGAGAUGUCUUCAGCUGGCUUCCCUGCGUUUCCCUGCUGCCACUCAGACACAUGCCAAGGCAAGUACUCUGGCUUCAGUCUUACCAUUCAUUCUGAAUCAUCUUUUCUGGAUAGUUUUGGAGACAAGGGACAGUUGGUCUCUCGUGUAUCGUGGCAUUUGCAAUAAAACCAUUUUGAUUUGCUAUAGCAUUUUUUUCCUGGGUUGUUUAACUCCAAAAAUAUUCAGGCCUCUAUAGAGUUUGGAAUGUUUUCAGAUGUAACGUGUAGAUGGAAGGUGGAACGUUCCACGUGAGGUGAGGAUCCUUAAAUCAGCAGUUUUGGGUGAGGAUAGGUGGGGAGUGCAGUGGUUACUGUGCUAUUUGGUUAAAUAAUUCUCUUCCAUGCAUAAAUUGACUCAUAUUUCUUUGCUGUUUAAAAUCAUACUGAAGGAGAGAAAAAGAAAGCAAAUGCCACACAAUGAACCGGGUAGGCAUUUUUUUCUGUGGGUUAUCCUGAUUUUUGCAAGCCCACGGCUCAGUUUUCUGGUGUCUGACUCACACAGAAGCUCCAUGUAUUUGCAUAGAAAAGCAUCUCCAUCUUCCUCCCCCACUGUCCCACCCUCCUGCCUCCACCAUCCCAGAUAAGCUGUCUGCUGCCUGCUCCUCUCUGUAAACAGGCUCUCUAGGGCAUGUCCCUCCCCUCUGCCUGGGACCAUUCCUACCCCGCCGCUCAGGCAGCUCUUGCCUUAGACCUUCAAAAUGUCCCCUGUUCUCCCAUACCCCAUUUUAUGUGAUGACCAUUUUUCUUCUCCUGUUAUUCAAGCUCAGUUCCUCUGCUUUUAUUUCUGGCAGGGUUAUUUUUCUGUUUGGCCUUGUUUUUCAAGGGCACACCCUUGUCACCUCCUUAGUCCUUUCCUUUGUUGCCUAAAGGUCUUCCUCUCUUUCCUUUUAUUGGUACUUUUGUCUCUUUUUUCCAUUAUCUUUUAGUCUCCCAGAUUCUGUCCCCUUUCCUUUGCAUUUGACCAAGCUUGUCUUACACAUUUUACUUGGGGGAUUUAAGACUUUUCUUUUUGACAGCUUUUCUUUCCUGCCCCUGGAAGUUUCUCCAUGCUGCUGGGCACAUGCCAAAGACCAAAUACAUUUAUUACUCCAAAUGAGACAACUACAAUCCCACAUAAGAGUGACUCCAGGCAGCAGCAAUCCCAGCAGCUCUCUGCUGCCAUCUUGGCCAUCCCCUAUGUCUCACGUUUUUCCUCUUCAGCUGUGGUAUCUUCACAUCUCAGAUGUUGCCUUAAGGUCUUUGACGAGACUUUGCUGCAAGGCUGAUCAAAAAAAGGUGCAGCAGCAUCAUAGUAGAGGUUUCUAUUUGCAGUUCCACCACUGCUAUCCUCUUGUCACCAGCCUCCGGCUCGCUGGCAAUGCCUGAAACAUGACUGUAGACUGUCUUUAUGGCAGUGACUGGAAGUGGGAAAACCAGGCACACUGUUAAAUCAGUCACAACAUCACUUAGGUAAAAGUAAAAACACCAGGAUCAGGGCUCUGAGCCCGGAAGGAGAGGAAGAGUGCGGAGAAGGUGUUCUUAAAGGGCUGGUUGGAUUCUUCAUAGUUGUACCACUCUGUGUUGUUUUAUGUUGGUUGUGUUUUGGGGUUUUAUGGUUAUGUUUUAGUUGAUGUUGCAUUAAAUUAUUUUGUGUUUUCUUCC